GCACAGAGACAUCAUUUAAGAAAGGUGAUUAUGUGGUUGGGCCUUCUGCUGCUGCCCAGAAUAUGAAAGCUGGUUUGGAGUCACAUGAUUUUCGAACUGCUAAUGGGAAGAAUGAUGAAGGUCAACACAGAAGAAAGAGUCCACCCCCUACUCCUGCCUUCAAGAAGCGGCACAGAGGUUGUUCGUAUUGCAUACUGGAUAUUGAGAAUUCCCCCAUUCCACAA
rnacentral:misc_RNA from 1 species